AUGUGUGUACCAAAGAACCAUGGAGGAAUGAGAUUCCGUGAUAUUCACUGUUUCAAUCUGGCUUUACUCGCUAAGCAGGCAUGGCGUCUACUUGAUAACACUGACUCACUGUGUGCCACUAUUCUAAGAGCAAAGUAUUACCCUGAUGGUGAUUUGCUGAAUUUCAAGUCAAAGCAUGAAGCUUCUUUCACCUGGCAAAGCAUUAUGGCGGGCAUUAGCACUCUGAAACGUGGCUAUAUUUGGCGAGUGGGAAAUGGAAAAAAUAUCAAUAUCUGGGAAGAUACCUGGAUCCCAAAUUGUGUCAUCAGGAAAGUUGUGACCCCUAAGGGGGGACAAUUGUUAUCAAAAGUGGUUGACUUGAUUGACACUGUCUCCAGUAAAUGGGAUGAGGACCUGAUUAGACAAACUAUGUGGCCCAUUGAUGUACAACGUAUUAUUUCAAUCCCACUUCCGCAACAUGAUAUGGCAGAUUUCAUUGCCUGGAGUAAUACAAAAAGUGGGUUGUUUUCGGUACGAUCUGCUUAUUAUGCGGAGUGGAAUUAUUAG
rnacentral:rRNA from 1 species